UUAAAGUCUAACCUGCCCCUGAAAAUAUUUAAAUGGCCGCAGUAUCCUAACUGUGCAAAGGUAGCAUAAUCAUUAGUCUUUUAAUUGAAGGCUGGAAUGAAUGGUUGGACGAGAUAUUAACUGUUUCAUUUAAAAUUUUUAUAGAAUUUUAUUUUUUAGUCAAAAAGCUAAAAUAUAUUUAAAAGACGAGAAGACCCUAUAAAUCUUUAUAUUUUAUUUAUUUUAAUUGUAAAGAUUAAUUUUAUUAUAAUAAUUUAAAAUAUUUUAUUGGGGUGAUAUUAAAAUUUAAAAAACUUUUAAUUUUUAAAACCAUUAAUUUAUGAAAUAUUGAUCCAUUAAUAAUGAUUAGAAAAUUAAGUUACUUUAGGGAUAACAGCGUAAUUUUUUUGGAGAGUUCAUAUCGAUAAAAAAGAUUGCGACCUCGAUGUUGGAUUAAGAUAUAAUUUUGGGUGUAGCCGUUCAAAUUUUAAGUCUGUUCGACUUUUAAAUUCUUACAUGAUCUGAGUUCAAACCGGCGUAAGCCAGGUUGGUUUCUAUCUUUAAUAAAUAGUAACAUUUUAGUACGAAAGGACCAAAUGUUAAAAUAAUAAUAUUUUUAAAAAGAAUAUUUUUAAUAUAA
rnacentral:rRNA from 1 species